rnacentral:rRNA from 1 species
AAGCACUCGGCCUUGAAUCUUCGGAGGAAAGGCGGUUUGACUGAGCGGCGGACGGGUGAGUAACGCGUGGGCAACCUGCCCCAUACGGGGGGAUAACAGUUAGAAAUGACUGCUAAUACCGCAUAAGACCGCGGUGCCGCAUGGCACAGCGGUAAAAACUCCGGUGGUAUGGGAUGGGCCCGCGUCUGAUUAGCUAGUUGGCGGGGUAACGGCCCACCAAGGCGACGAUCAGUAGCCGACCUGAGAGGGCGACCGGCCACAUUGGGACUGAGACACGGCCCAAACUCCUACGGGAGGCAGCAGUGGGGAAUAUUGCACAAUGGGGGAAACCCUGAUGCAGCGACGCCGCGUGAGCGAUGAAGUAUUUCGGUAUGUAAAGCUCUAUCAGCAGGGAAGAAGAUGACGGUACCUGACUAAGAAGCCCCGGCUAACUACGUGCCAGCAGCCGCGGUAAUACGUAGGGGGCAAGCGUUAUCCGGAUUUACUGGGUGUAAAGGGAGCGUAGACGGCGAUGCAAGCCAGAUGUGAAAGCCCGGGGCUCAACCCCGGGACUGCAUUUGGAACUGUGUGGCUGGAGUGUCGGAGAGGCAGGCGGAAUUCCUAGUGUAGCGGUGAAAUGCGUAGAUAUUAGGAGGAACACCAGUGGCGAAGGCGGCCUGCUGGACGAUGACUGACGUUGAGGCUCGAAAGCGUGGGGAGCAAACAGGAUUAGAUACCCUGGUAGUCCACGCCGUAAACGAUGACUGCUAGGUGUCGGGCGGCAAAGCCG